CGCUUGCAUGCAUUGGUUCUUGUCCGAUCACUGAAAUUAAGCAUCAUCGAGCGUGGUCAAUACUUGGGAGGGUGACCACCUGGGAACACCGCG